GGCCAGUGAAGGAGUGAGUGAAAACCACAGGGUGGAAAACCACACUGUCCUUCGUCAUCGGGUUGGAGUCUCCCGUCAUAUCGUCAGACAUCGUCAGUGCUCGGAGUACACCAUGCGACCACUGAUAAGCAGGGAGAUCGGGAAGAACAGUGGGGAAAACAGGAUCUAGUGCCUAAAGAGUACCAGGAAUGUUAUUUUCUGAUUCUCUGUAUUCUAGAACGUCAGCAACCACAUUUCCAUCCACAGUUUCUGUGCGACCUACUGCACCAGCUCCCAAUCUGAAACCAAAGACCCAGUACACGUUUCUGCCUCAUGCCUGACGCCCCCUCCUCCUCCUCACGCCUUUAUUUUAACAGAUGAAACUGAACAAUGUCAUUAGAACAGAAGCGAGAAAGACAGACAGAUGGAGACCAAUCUGUAUUAUCGUCAAACAACUUGCUGUUUUCCAAGAAAUCUGUGGUCUCACAGGAGGAGAAGGGGAGAGAAAAGUAUACGGGGAGAGAAAGAUAGACGAGAGAGAAAGAGAGAUGAGAGGAAAGAUAGGAAGAGAGAGGGAGAUGUUGAAAGAUGUAGAGAGAGAAACAGAGAGAGCAUAGGCUCAAUAUGUUGAAACGUGCGCCAGACAACCAGCGAAACGGUCGGUUCAGACCGACCAGGAUGGUUGCCAUGGCAACCAUUACCAGGCUCUCUCGCACUGUUGCUUUGUUGCUGUGAAGCCUUUGGAGGGAAACGACUGACUACGAGA
ensembl:lncRNA